GAUUAACGCUAGCGGCAGGCAUAAUACAUGCAAGUUGAACGGCAGCACAGGUAGCAAUACUGGGUGGCGAGUGGCGCACGGGUGCGUAACACGUAUGCAACCUACCCUAUACAGGCGAAUAACCUUUAGAAAUGAGGGCUAAUACGCCGUAGUAUUACAGAUGGCAUUCUUUUGUUAUUAAAGGUUUUUCGGUUUUGGAUGGGCAUGCGUCCCCUUAGUUAGUUGGUAAGGUAACGGCUUACCAAGACGAUGAUGGGUAGGGGAUCUGAGAGGACUUACCCCCACACUGGUACUGAGACACGGACCAGACUCCUACGGGAGGCAGCAGUAAGGAAUAUUGGGCAAUGGCCGCGAGGCUGACCCAGCCAUGCCGCGUGCAGGAAGACGGCCUUAUGGGUUGUAAACUGCUUUUAUACGGGAAUAAUAGAGUGUACGCGUACAUUUAUGCAAGUAUCGUAUGAAUAAGCAUCGGCUAACUCCGUG
rnacentral:rRNA from 1 species